UACGAAGGGGGCUAGCGUUGCUCGGAAUCACUGGGCGUAAAGCGCACGUAGGCGGCUUUUUAAGUUAGGGGUGAAAUCCCGGGGCUCAACCCCGGAACUGCCUUUAAUACUGGGUAUCUCGAGUUCGAGAGAGGUGAGUGGAAUUCCGAGUGUAGAGGUGAAAUUCGUAGAUAUUCGGAGGAACACCAGUGGCGAAGGCGGCUCACUGGCCCGAUACUGACGCUGAGGCACAAAAGCGUGGGGAGCAAACAGG
rnacentral:rRNA from 1 species